UACGUAGGGGGCAAGCGUUAUCCGGAUUUAUUGGGCGUAAAGCGUGCGCAGGCGGCUUAUUAAGUCUAAGAUUAAAGCCCGGAGCUUAACUCCGGUUCGUCUUAGAAACUGGUAGGCUUGAGUAUGGUAGAGGCAAACGGAAUUCCUAGUGUAGCGGUGGAAUGCGUAGAUAUUAGGAGGAACACCAGUGGCGAAGGCGGUUUGCUGGGCCAUUACUGACGCUCAUGCACGAAAGCGUGGGGAGCAAAUAGG
rnacentral:rRNA from 1 species